AAAAAAAAAAUUGCAUUCACGAGCACUUCCCAUAAACCAUCCAGUUUUAAUAUUCUAAAGAAAUGUUAAAAAAGUGAAGUAUUAUUUUAAUCUUGUUGGAGACAACUUUCUAAAAAAUCGCACGUCUGGGUGUCGGGUUCUCCAUAGAUUUCUAUUGAUAAUUAAUAUUAUCAGCUACUCCUGUUCUAUCUCACAUAUAUAAAUUCUCAUUAGUCCUGUUCUACAUUCAAAUUACGGUUCUAUUUCUGCCAGGCCAUUUUGUCAAAUAUGUUUUUCCAAUUUUGAGCAUUAAAUGACAUAUUAUAUGGCUACUCUAUGUGUAUUCUAAACACACCAUAACACAUAUUCUAUGUCUCAAUUACUUUUCUUCACUAAUCUCUACUACAAUAAACCAGCUCACUAAUACUAUUAAUAAAUAAAAUACCUAAUGGAACUGCAUCUUAAUUUCAAAGACCAAAAGUAACUGGAAGCAUUAUUUAAUCAUCAGUUAACCUACUUAAUCAAAAUCGCAAGAUAGUACUUUCAUUUGAGCUAAAACUCUAUUCGAUGCACGUCAAUGGUUUUUUUCCUUCAGAUUUCGGUCGUGAAAACUACACAUUUUUCCCCAUCAUGGUUAUAUAUCCUUCAAAAAAAUUACUUCCAUAGUUAGUGCUCCAAGUAGGUUCUAACUUCUGUGUGCAGAUAUUCUACUACUCUCACCUAAAACUUCAUCAUGUGAUUUCUGAUAUGAUAAAAUAAUUAUUCUCUAGUAGUUCC
rnacentral:lncRNA from 1 species